GUUUAGGACAGCUGCUGCCAAA
rnacentral:miRNA from 1 species